rnacentral:rRNA from 1 species
UACGAAGGGUGCAAGCGUUAAUCGGAAUUACUGGGCGUAAAGGGUGCGUAGGCGGUUAUUUAAGUCUGCCGUGAAAUCCCCGGGCUCAACCUGGGAAUGGCGGUGGAUACUGGAUAGCUAGAGUGUGUCAGAGGAUGGUGGAAUUCCCGGUGUAGCGGUGAAAUGCGUAGAGAUCGGGAGGAACAUCAGUGGCGAAGGCGGCCAUCUGGGACAACACUGACGCUGAGGCGCGAAGGCUAGGGGAGCGAACGGG